GACGUAGGGGGCCAGCGUUGUUCGGAAUUACUGGGUUUAAAGGGUGCGUAGGUGGGCAGGUAAGUCAGUGGUGAAAUCUCCGGGCUUAACCCGGAAACUGCCGUUGAUACUAUCUGUCUUGAAUAUAGUGGAGGUGAGCGGAAUAUGUCAUGUAGCGGUGAAAUGCUUAGAUAUGACAUAGAACACCUAUUGCGAAGGCAGCUUACUACGCACAUAUUGACGCUGAGGCACGAAAGCGUGGGGAUCAAACAGG
rnacentral:rRNA from 1 species